ensembl:lncRNA
UCCUUCUCUCCCCUCCCCUCUCUCCUCCUCCAUCUCUCCUCCUCUGCCUUCUCGUCCCUCCAUCUUCCCUCUGCUUCUCUCCCUCCAUCUCUCCCUCUGCUUCUCCCCAUCUCUCUCUGUGUCUCUCCCUCCAUAUAUCCCUCUGCUUCUCUCCCUCCAUCUCUCCCUCUGUCUCUCCCUCCAUCUCUCUCUCUGUAGGCCCCAAGCAAUAGGCCAACAUUGUGUUUAUGCUCUCUUAUCUCUUCAGCCUUUCCUCAAAAGCAACAACCUCUUUCAAUGAAGGAAGGGGAGGUGAUGUGACUCAGCCAGGGGAAGUGGUGGAGCAGUGGAGGAAUGGAGGAGAGGAAGAGAGACAGAGGGAGGUGGAGAGAGAGGCGGGAGUGACAGAUGGACUAACUCAGGCUGCAGAGACAACUACCAACCACAGGGUGUCAGCAGACAAACGCAGAUUCAAUACUGUGGGAUACCAUAGGAAGCUGAAGCCGAAAGUGGUGGUAGACUAUACCACGGUGAGUAAGGGAGCGUCUGGAAGUUUCAAACCCCGAGCAGCACUGAGACAGGUCCUGUUCAGCCAGGGAGCGACUGACAAGAGCCCCAUGCCUGAGGUACUUUCCUCCCACGCACUUAACUUGUACUCUACACACAUCAAUACACCCUGACACGCAUAUGUACAGACACGCACAGCCAGUGCCACUGUCCACAUACUUACAGAAAAUAGGAAUUCGGCAAAUGUACACUCCAAUUGUUCACUCAAGCAUAUCUGCUAUGAGCCCAUUUCUAACUAAAUUUGAUAACAGUGGUGGUGGCGGUGGUGUGUAUACAGUUGAAGUCGGAAGUUUACAUACACUUAGGUUGGAGUCAUUAAAAUGUGUUUUUCAACCACUCCACAAAUUUCUUGUUAACAAACUAUAGUUUUGGCAAGUCGGUUAGGAAGUAAUUUUUCCAUCAAUUGUUAACAGACAGAUUAUUUAACAUAUAAUUCACUGUAUCACAAUUCCAGUGGGUCACAAGUUGACAUACACCAAGUUGACUGUGCAUUUAAACAGCUUGGAGAAUUCCUGAAAAUGAUGUCAUGGCUUUAGAAGCUUCUGAUAGGCUAAUUGACAUCAUUUGAGUCAUUUGAGGCUUUUUUAUGGCAGUUUUGGAGCAGUGGCUUCUUCCUUGCUGUGUGGCCUUUCAGGUUAUGUCGAUAUAGGACUUGUUUUACUGUGGAUACAGAUACUUUUGUACCCAUUUCCUCCAGCAUCUUCACAAGGUACUUUGCUGUUGUUCUGGGAUUGAUUUGCACUUUUUGCACCAAGUAUGUUCAUCUCUAGGAGACAGAACGCGUCUCCUUCCUGAGCAGUAUGACGGCUGCGUGGUCCCAUGGUGUUUAUACUUGCGUACUAUUGUUUGUACAGAUGAACGUGGUACCUUCAAGCGUUUGAAAAUUGCUCCCAAGGAAGAACCAAACUCUUCCAUUUCUUUUUCUGAGGUCUUGACUGAUUUCUUUUGAUUUUCCCAUGAUGUCAAGCAAAGAGGCACUGAGUUUGAAGGUUGGCUUUGAAAUACAUCCACAGGUACACCUCC